GUACCAUUUGCAGAAACGAGGGUCUGAAAAGGACCAGGAGGAGGGUGAGGGUGGGAGACGACAAACGGUUCAGCUGAACACAUUGGAGUUUUGGUGCUCAGAGACAGCCAGGAAGGAAUGGCCGCUUGGCCACUGGACGGAUGGACCUGGAGCUCAGGAUCUAGGAGCCAUCGUGAGGCAAUCUGAUCAGGAAGAAUGGUUCCUGUGCAGCGACCGAAGGCGUUCUGGCCAUGGAGGAGCCAGUAGUCAGCGGGCCAGGAGCUCUGGCACUGGCUGGCUUCUAGUCAGUGAGCUGCCAAGUCAAGACGCGCCAGGCCCCGAAAGCUUUCCUCUCGCUCCAGGCCUAAGGCCAGUGAUGUGCACACAAACAGUGGAGCCCAGGUCAAAACUCCCAGAGCAGCUGAGGUAGCCCCAGAGGACUGUGACAGCCACAGAGUCUCUGUUGGCCCUUGGCCUGGGCCCCGGGGGUCAGCUGGAGGACAUACCCGACAGACCCCUGCCCCCUUAGGCCAGUCAUGCCCCAGAGGGGACAUUCCUACUGUCUCCUCCUUCCAGGGAGGGGAAGCCUAUUGUCCUUCAGAGAUCCAUAUCUUUUUUUGGCCUUACC
rnacentral:lncRNA from 1 species